rnacentral:tmRNA from 1 species
GGGGGCGUAUUUGGCUUCGACGGGGGUAAGGCGUAUCUGAGAAGCGAGUCGAGGGAACCUGUGGGCCCGCGUUAAAAAACUAUAGGAUUAAAUAUAAUCGAAAACGAUAAUUUAGCUUUAGCAGCUUAGUCUGCUACGUCAGCCCGGGAGUACCGCGAACCGGAACCUGGCGUCGAUAGCGGUGAAACGAGCCUGAGUAAGCUUUGCCUCAGGAACGGAAUUUAUGAAGCUACUAAAACCAAAAGCCUGUCCUUAGGCGUUUGGUAGAGGGAAUGUUAAACUAAGGAAUGCACUCGGAGAUGCUCAGGUAUUACUGCUUUCGGACAGGGGUUCGACACCCCUCGCCUCCACCA